UCUGAAGAACGUUUGGAAGCAACUAUUUAUUCACAGAAUUUACUAAAAAAUUACUGUAUGACCGUAUCUAAUCUGAGAUGUAAAGUUCAUUGCACCAGUGAAGUCACUAGUGGGAGCUGCAGAGUGAGAAGUAAUUCAGAGGCGAAGACAGAAAGCAAGAGGCAAGAGUAAGACGUGGAACUACAAUACUAGCUUUUAACAUUGCGAACCAGACAGGGUUGCAAAAAACAGCAUCCAGAGGCACAAACAACUAUCGCAAAAGAAAAGUCGUAAAUUUACAAGGACCAUAACCUUCUAUGGGGAAGGAAGAGGUAGAUCCGUUUCUAAAAGCAGAGAUGACGUCAAAAUCUGCUAUUUUCAACAGUAAGGUUUGAAGUUCUGUAAAAGAAGACUGACUGGUAAUGACAGAAGGACAACAUAUUUGAAAAAAUAAGCCUUAUACUGU